rnacentral:rRNA from 1 species
UUGGAGGGCAAGUCUGGUGCCAGCAGCCGCGGUAAUUCCAGCUCCAAUAGCGUAUAUUAAAGUUGUUGCAGUUAAAAAGCUCGUAGUUGAAUUUCGGGGUUAGUAGGUUGGUCAUGCCUCUGGUAUGUACUGGUCUCACUAAUUCCUCCUUCCUGAUGAACCUUAAUGCCAUUAAUUUGGUGUUUUGGGGAAUUUGGACUGUUACUUUGAAAAAAUUAGAGUGUUUAAAGCAGGCUUACGCUUGAAUACAUCAGCAUGGAAUAAUGAAAUAGGACGUUUGAUUCUAUUUUGUUGGUUUCUAGGAUUGACGUAAUGAUUAAUAGGGAUAGUUGGGGGCAUUAGUAUUCAAUUGUCAGAGGUGAAAUUCUUGGAUUUAUUGAAGACUAACUACUGCGAAAGCGUUUGCCAAGGAUGUUUUCAUUAAUCAAGAACGAAAGUUAGGGGAUCGAAGACGAUCAGAUACCGUCGUAGUCUUAACCAUAAACUAUGCCGACUAGGGAUCGGAUGAUGUUAAUUUUUUAAUGACUCAUUCGGCGCCUUACGGGAAACCAAAGUGUUUGGGUUC